AGGCCCAUGUUUGAGGAUGAUAUCCCAUCAGUGAUGGAGCUGGAAAUGGAAGACCUAGAAAAUUGGAUAGCAAAAGAUGGAGGCAAGAAAGUGGACACUGGCCAAAUAUAACGAAUAGCUUUUCAGUACCGGCUGUGGACUUGAUGCUGUUUCAUGUGUCCUCAUAUGUAAUGUUGCACAGUGUACAUGUUGUGGUAUACUUCGGUACAUGUAAUUCAGAAACUUAUAAGAGAAGACAUUUGCUAAUACUUUUAGAUUAUGUUUCAUAAUGCUAUAUAUAAAAACAUAUUUAUAAAAAAAAAUUAAACACUGCAGUGUAAAGACUAUCGCCGUUUGGAUGAAAAUGGACAAACAAAAAUAAGCAGAUAGAUUUUUCUGUCUGUUGCACAGCUCUUCUGGAAGCUGAUGUGGUCUUCUGUGUACUUUUGAUAUUGAUAUUUUCACCAUUUGUUUAUGGAGUACAACAAAAUAAUAAACAAUGUUGUAUCUUUAUUAUGUGAUAAUCAUUCUUGUCUUUAUCUAAAUGCAAUGACUGCCACAGAACUUCAAAAAUAAGAAGCAUUUCAUCAUUCCAUUUAAAUGAUAAAAACAUGAACAUUUUAACCUAUGUAAAUAUUAUUGCAUAAGUUGUAUUCUUUUUUUAUUUGCAGCAUUGCAAGUUUGUGUUUACAAUUUAUAAUGAAACGUAAUAAUUCUUAAGAAAGCACCAACACAUUUCCUGCUAUGUACUGUUUUUUAUAUUAAA